rnacentral:lncRNA from 1 species
GGACCCAACGUUCCGUUGAAAAAUCAACGGACCGAUCACCAACGACACAUCGGACACUUACGAAGACUGAUAUAUCCAUAAUAAUGGGAGUCACACUCCUUCUACGAUCAAACUCUCGGGCAAAAUGAUCGGCUAACUUGCCAACUUGGACCCGAUCAAGAAAGGCAAAGCGCCAACACGACCAGUGUCGCGUUCGCGACUUACCGACCAGGUCACAACUGAUCGAAGGAUAUUCGGCUUACCACCGUUUAUCACACACCACGACGUAUGUACCCGACC